rnacentral:misc_RNA from 1 species
GAAAUGCGAUAAGUAAUGUGAAUUGCUGAAUUCAGUGAAUCAUCGAAUCUUUGAACGCACCUUGCGCUCCUUGGUAUUCCUUGGAGCAUGCCUGUUUGAGUAUCAUGAAAUCUUCAAAGUAAAUCUUUUGUUAACUCAAUUGGUUUCUACUUUGGUAUUGGAGGUCUUUGCAGCUUCACACCUGCUCCUCUUUGUUCAUUAGCUGGAUCUCAGUGUUAUGCUUGGUUCCACUCGGCGUGAUAAGUUAUCUAUCGCUGAGGACACUGUAAAAGGUGGCCAAGGUAAAUGCAGAUGAACCGCUUCUAAUAGUCCAUUGACUUGGACAAUACUUUUAUGAUCUGAUCUCAAAUCAGGUAGGACUACCCGCUGAACUUAAGC